UACGUAGGGGGCAAGCGUUGUCCGGAUUUACUGGGCGUAAAGAGCGUGUAGGCGGCCAAGCAGGUCCGUUGUGAAAACUGGAGGCUUAACCUCCAGACGUCGACGGAAACCGCGUGGCUAGAGUCCAGAAGAGGAGAGUGGAAUUCCUGGUGUAGCGGUGAAAUGCGCAGAUAUCAGGAAGAACACCAAUGGCGAAGGCAGCUCUCUGGGACGGUACUGACGCUGAGACGCGAAAGCGUGGGGAGCGAACAGG
rnacentral:rRNA from 1 species